rnacentral:rRNA from 1 species
GACGAACGCUGGCGGCGUGCUUAACACAUGCAAGUCGAACGAAGUGGCGAACGGGUGAGUAACGCGUAGUCAACCUGCCCUUCAGAGGGGGACAACAGUUGGAAACGACUGCUAAUACCGCAAACUGAAGGGGUGGAUUGCGUCGGCGUAGCUAGUUGGAGGGGUAACGGUCCACCAAGGCGAUGAUCAGUAGCCGGUCUGGGAGGAUGAACGGCCACAUUGGGACUGGGACACGGCCCAGACUCCUACGGGAGGCAGCAGUGGGGAAGCUUCCGCAAUUGACGAAAGUCUGACGAAGCAACGCCGCGUGAGUGAUGACGGCCUUCGGGUUGUAAAGCUCUGUUAAUCGGGACGCGGUACCGGAAUAGAAAGCCACGGCUAACUACGUGCCAGCAGCCGCGGUAAUAC